rnacentral:rRNA from 1 species
GUACACGCUGUGACUAGCAUAUCAAUAAGCGGAGGAAAAGAAACUAACAAGGAUUCCCCUAGUAACGGCGAGUGAAGCGGGAAGAGCUCAAAUUUGAAAUCUUAAAGGGUUUCCCCUUACGAAUUGUAGUUUAAAGAAGUGUUUUCUGUUGAGGUUUUGGUAAAAGUUCUUUGGAAUAGGACAUCAUAGAGGGUGAGAAUCCCGUAUUUGACCUUUACUUUCAACUUUGUGAUACACUUUCAAAGAGUCGGAUUGUUUGGGAAUGCAGUCCAAAAUGGGUGGUAAAUUUCAUCUAAAGCUAAAUAUUGGCGAGAGACCGAUAGCGAACAAGUACCGUGAGGGAAAGAUGAAAAGAACUUUGAAAAGAGAGUUAAACAGUACGUGAAAUUGUCAAAAGGGAAGCGUUUGACACCAGUGUUGUUUUUCUGAAAAUCAAUUAAAGAACUGUUUAUGCUAAGCUGUUUAGACUUUAUCAGCUAUCUGUUUAGUUUUGAGCUUUUCUUUAAUGCACUUUUCAGUUAACAAGUCAACAUCAAUUUCUUUUGCUGUAAAAAAGCUUGAGGAAGGUGGCUUGAGAUUCGUCUUAAGUGUUUAUAGCCUCUUGCCUAUGCAGUCGGAGAGAUUGAGGUCUGCAGCGUAGAUCCUUCGGGGCUAAAUGCAUUUGUGCUAAGUUAUAGCAUUUUAUAGACAACUUGUUGACUAUGAUUUGUCUUGUAGCUUACUCGCUUAUGUUAUUUUACCUACGCUUAGGAUGUUGAUAUGCAUGACUGAUAU